UAAUAUUUCUAAAAAAAGAGGUCCAGAAAGAGAAAGAAAACUCCGAUCGAAAGCUCUCCUCCUUUGCCUUUUCUCCAAGCUAUUUCUUUCAAUCUAGGGUUUCAUCAUACUCUUCUUCUCCACCAAGAAUUCAGGUUUUGGAAAAUUGAAAAUGAUGUCCCUAACCCCAUAUCAUUUCAGAAAAGCUGGAUUGGGGGUUAUGGCACCUCUGAUUUUAUUUAAUAUUUUUCUUAAACAAACAUUUUCUAUUGGAGUCAUUCCAAGAUCGUAUGUUGGAGGGCGGAAUGAGAACUAAGGCGGUCAAUUGCCCGCCGAGGCUGGAGUCAUUCCAAGAGCAGUUCGCCAAAUCUUUGAUUCAUUGCAGAGCUCGAAAAUUUGCAUGGGAAGCAAAGGGACUUAUUAUAACCUUGUGGUGUGGUUGCUUAUUGCAAUUUCAAGUUAAAGUUGACAUGGGCAAACCCAUACUUAAAGCGUUGGAUGUACCUACAAAAUUACCUACAAACAAAGAUCAAUCCGUUGUUAAAUCAGAACUAAAUGUAGAUGGUGUAUCUUGGAAUGUGACUUGUGUUAGUAUGGGAAAUCCUCAUUCUGUAACUUUUAAAACAAAAGGAGGCCAGGUAUGAAUUUUGGACAUGAUGGAACAAUUAGUGAUUGUUGCAUUCGUCUAGAUCCAUUAUGUUGUACCUUAUUUUAAAGCAUAUGUUUUUUUUUUUAAUAUUAUAUCUUUUUUCCAUUUGACCCUUGAUUUGGUCAUAGGUAACACACACUUGAUGGGAUCCUGAGUUCGUUUGGCAACCCCUCUCCUGUCCAGGUAUUGAACGAACCAAGUGUCAUCUAGGUAAUGACCACAUUCAUUUCAGGAAUGAUAAAUAUACUGAACCGUUAUGACAAUAGAAAUCAUGAACAUAAAUGCGUAACUUUAAGCAUAAAAGUCGUUAUUUGCAAAGGCCAAUUAUUGACAUAAAGUAUUAAAGAGACACAUAAAAUGUUACAACUCUAUUAGAAUAAAAGGCCAUCAGACAUCAAAUUCAAAUAUGAAAAACAAUUCCUUAGAAAAACUAUUAUUUGUUUCUUCCAAAAACUGACUUAGGAUUCGAAAAUGUGUGUUAAGCAAAAUCAUUUAGACACACCUUGUUGUAGGUAGGUACACUCAUUGUCUGCUAAGAGGAAGGUAGCGAGAAAGGAAGAUUGUUGUCCAUGCACCAACAAUUGGUGUCAUAUGUGGGAAUUAAGCUAAAAACCUUAAGAGUAGAUAACUAACUUACUUCCUAGAAAUGCAUCCUCAUUUGAUAGAUAUGGGCGAUUAAUUCCGUGCAUAGCAAGCCAAAAUGGGGAGAAGACAGGUAGAAUAUGAGUGAGCAGCUGAAAUAGGAAAAAGAAGAGUUAUGGGCACAAAUGGUCUAGGGACAUCAUGCGAGCCAGAGGAAGCCACCACACACAUAGUCAAAUGAUCUCGAGGCCAACUCGAAGCUAGACAGCGAAAACUCCUCCGCUUGAUAGAGAAUCAUCACUACAAGCUGACGAUGAGUUAUUUGCUAGUAGUUCACCAACCUUACCAAAGCCAAGGAGUUCCAAAAUGGUGUGUAGUUUAGAAAAAUUGGGCGAAUGAAACCACUAGUUCGGUGAAGCGCAAGAGGGGCUCAAAAUAGGGACCAUGAGUGUUAGAUGCCUUGAAAACCCGAUUUAGGCAUCCUCAAGAAGAAGCUUCACUAAGACGUUUUCCGCAAUGCAUAAAUCCCGAACAUCAACCACAAGAAGUUUUAUUAAAAGCCCCAUUUCCCCUAGGCACGAUAAGUAGACGAUUGGAUGACAUGUCGUCCAUCGUUUGACUUUUAUAUUAUCAUUACGAGUUGCCCAAAGAAUUCGUGGUACUAAAGUUUACCAUGUAUGAUGGGUCAAGCGAUUUUUUUGACCAUUUGAUGCACUUCCAGCAAAUGAUGAUGCUGGAUAUAGGUAAUGAUUUGCCACUAUGCAAGGUUUUUUCUGUCAGUCUUCAUGGUUUGACUUUGUUGUGGUUUCACCAACUCCUCUAAAAAUUUGGCAAACUUAUUCAGAGACAUAUUAGAGGCAUUUGUGGCGCAUUACCUAAAGCUCUGCCCAACAAAAACAGAAUAUAAGCACCUUGUUGAACAUCAAGAUGUUGGAAAACAAGUCAAUGAGAGAUUUUAUGAAUUGGUUCAAACAAGUGGUGUUUAUAAGUAGAGUCGUACAACAAGAAUUCGUGCUUUCUACUAUAAAUUUUUGAAAAGAGUACAAGUCUAGGCAUUCAUUUCUUCAAGUAUUUUACCAAAAAGCUGUUGGCUACCAUGGAUGAUUUAUUCCGGAGGGUAGCCAAGUACAUGACAAGAUGAUGUACAAGCAACCUCUCGGCAGAUCCUUGUCACAACCUAGACGUUAAAAAAAAAAAAAAAAAAAUUCCAAGUUGUCAGACAACCGGUCUAGACAUGGUAACUGAAAAUAUUCCCAAUAAAGGCAGUAAAGACGACAACAACCUUGGUUCGUAUUUUUUACUGUCUCAUAUGAAUGUAUUAUGCCACUUAUCCAAGAACUACCUGAAUUCAAAUGACCGGAACCUAUCGAGAUAGAUUAAGCUAGAAAGGAUUAGAGAUGAUAAUGCUUUUACCAUAAGGAACAUGGGCAUAUCAUGGAAGAGUGCCAACAAUUGUACUACAUGGUAGAAAAGCUAGUAAAGACUAGAAACUUGAAACGGUAUGUUCAAACAGUUGUCGGAUUGAACUCUCACUUAUCCUAUAACACAACGUGGUAGCGAUAAAUUAUAUACACAGGGGACCGACAAAUAAUAAAUACUAUUCAAGGUAUCAAAUGAGGAUAAUGAUUAGGACAACCACCGUGAGAGAACAUGUAAACAUGGUCUAAUGUUGUUUCACUUUAGAAAGCGCUCGACCAAUUGAUAGACUAGUCACCUUCUUACCGAUUAACCCUAAUCAAGUCAUAGUGCCUCAUGAGGAUGCGCCAGUGCUAACACUUAGACUUAGUGGCUUUAAUGUACAAAGGAUUUUGGUUAAUCCAUAGAGCUCCGCUGACCUGUUACAGAUGUUAGCCUAUAAACGAAUGGGACAUUCACCAACUGUUUUAGAAAGUCCAAGUUGUGUGCUAUUUGAAUUUAAUGAAACUACUACAAUGUUCCUAAGAGAUGUCAUACUUUUUAUUAAAGCCGAACCAGUCACUCUCUAUGUAAGAUUCUCCGUGGUAGUAGAUUUGAUGCCCUACAAUGCCAUACUGGGUCGGGCAUAGUUGCACAAAAUGAAAGCUAUUUUGUCCACUUACCUUCAGACGAUCAGUUACUUAAUGGAGAAAGACACUUUACCUACACGGGAACUAAUUAGCUUUCUGGUAGUGCCAUCAAGUAAUAAUGGAAUCAGACCAAAGUACCUUCCCUGUAGACGAGCCUAAGUCAUUUGAGGAAUGUGCCAAAUAGGAAUUGCAAAGUCGGACACAAGAGAAAAUGGAAGAUCGAGACCCUUUGGUUGUAGACUCGCUUGAACGACUAAGUCUUUCUGAAAGCGAAGAUCAGAUAACUUAUAAUGCCAUACUGGGUCGGGCGUAGUUGCACAAAAUGAAAGCUAUUUUGUCCACUUACCAUCAGAUGAUCAGUUACUUAAUGGAGAAAAGCAAAGUGCACCUAUACGGGAACUAAUUAGCUUCCUGACAGUGCUAUCGAGUAACAAUGGAAGCAGACCAAAGUACUUCCCCUACAGAUGAGCCUAAGUCAUUUGAGGAAUGUGCCAAAUAGGAAUUGCAAAGCCGGACACGAGUGAAAAUGGAAGAUCGAGACCCUCUGGUUGUAGACUUGCUUGAACGACUAAGUCUUUCUAAAAACGAAGAUCAGAUAACUUAUGUCAACACUUUGUUGAUUACAAAAAGUACAAUAGUUUAGGGCAAAUGCUAAAAAAAAGCAAAGAUGUAUUCACAUGAAAAUAGUCAGACAUGCUUGUUGGCGCACGACCAACAAUAUCUUUUUCGACUAGCUUUUUCUGAGCGAACGACGAGCUUUCCUGCAACAACGUGUGUCCGGAUGGUUUUUUCGGGCACUUCCCUCCGAAUGUUAAGUUAAUGUCUAGAAAAGACGAACAAUAACUUUUUAGGGAACUUAUUUCAUACAUGAAUUUGAUGUUUGAUGACCCUUUAUUCUGACAGAGUUGCAACAUUUCACGUAUCUCUUUAAUACUUUAAAUGCUAGUAAUUGACCAUGCGAAUAACAACUUUUGGGCUUAAAGUCAGACAUUUAUGUUCAUGAUUUCUUUUGUUGUAACAAUUCAGAAUAUUUAUUACUUUUUGCACAAUGAAUAUGGAUGUUGCCCAGAUAACCCUUUGUUUGUUUGAUACUUGGACGAGAAACGAAAGAUUGGAUGGAUGCAGGUCCUACAACACCCCCAAAUUCCCUCAACUAGAUCCAUUUAGAAACUAGAUGGACGGUUGGAGAUAAUUUACUAUUAACUUACUUGUUGGAAAAGUUUUCAAAAUUUUGUUUUGGAGCUAAAGUGGCACAUGUUCGAUAGGUGAUGCAUGAUUAUGGUGGUUGAUAGACAACAAGUCUUUUCAAAAUGCCUCGAUCAUUGCGCCCAUUUUUCUCUUAUUUAAAUGGUUCGCUAUCGGUGCCAUUUCAACCUAGUCAUUGGUGUCAGAAUACCUCUACUUUAUUAUACCAUGUUAGGUUUCUUCAUCUUUCAUUGAAUGUUUCCUUCUUUUAUCAGCAUUGUGUUAGGGUUUUUGCAUAUUAUGCUACUACAUAGUUUUGCCUGAGUUGUGAUUUGUGAGGGUGUUUUGCUUGAUUUGUAAGGGUUUUUCAAAGCCAAAGCAUGAAUUUUAACCAACCAAUAAUUUUAUAAGUGGCUUUGAGUCAUCGAUACUUUAUAGAAAACUUUAAGCCAUCCAAGGGGUCAAACUUAGUAGCAUUAGGAUAUCGGGUUGAUGUAUUUUGUGUCUCGAUCUAAGAGACAUUUGGUUAAUUCUUUUACACUAUUUUGGUUUUGCUUUUAAUCGAUGAGACCAGGGCUCAUGUUGUUCGGUUUCGUUCCUUCAUUUUCAACGGUUUAGUUAAGUGCUUGUAAGCACGUAGCCAUCUUUGACUUUGUUCUUCCACUUUUAAUGGUUUAGUUAGGUGUUUGUAAGCACGUAGUUGUCGGCUUCAUUCUUUCAUUUUUAGCGGUUUAGUUAAGUGCUUGUAAGCACAUAGUCAUCAACUUCAUUUUUUGCUUUUAGCGGUUUAGUUAAGUGUUUGUAAGCAUGCAGUCAGCUUCGACUUUGUUAUUCCACUUUAGCAGUUUAGGUGCUUGUAAGUGCGUAGCCGAAUUUGACUUUAUUUUUUCGCUUUUAGCAAUUUAGGCGCUUGUAAGCACAUAGCCAAAUUUGACUUUGUUAUUUAGAUUUAGCGGUUUAGGUGCUUAUAAGCACAUAGCCAAAUUCAACUUUGUUAUUCCAUUUUUAACGAUUUAGGUGCUUGUACAACAUAUAGUCGGAUUCGUCUUUGUUCUUUUGCUUUUAGUGGUUUAGGUACUUGUAAUCAUGUAGUCAGAUUCGUCUUUGUUCUUCUACUUUUAGCAAUUUAGGUGCUUGUCAACACAUAGUCGAUCAACUUUGUUCUUCCACUUUUAGCGGUUUAGGUGCUUGUAAGCACGUAGUCACAUUCGAUUUUGUUCUUUUGUUUUUAGCGAUUUAGUUAGGUGUUUGUAAGCAUGUAGUCAUAUUUAGCUUUGUUUUUCCACUUUAGUGGUUUAAGUGCUUGUAAGCAUGUAACCGAAUUAGGCUUUGUUCUUCGGCUUUUAGCAGUUUUGGUGCUUGUUUUUUGUAGUUGAAUUUGGCUUUGUUCUUCCGUUUUUAACGAUUUAGGUGUUUGUUAGCACAUAGUCGAAUUUGACUUUGUUCUUUCUCUCUUAGCGGUUUAGGUGCUUGUAAGCACAUAGUUGGAUUCGACUUUAUUAUUUCAUUUUUAGUGAUUUAGGUGCUUGUAAGCACAUAACUGAAUUUGGUUUUGUUCUUCUGAUUUUAAUGGUUUAGUUAGGUGCUUGUUAUCAUAUAGCCAUAUUUAACUUUGUUUUUCUAUUUGAGUGGUUUAGGUGCUUAUAAUCACAUGGAUGAAUUCGACUUUGUUUAGUUCAUUUUUAGUGAUUUAGUUAGGUGAUUUGCAAGCACAUAGCUGGAUUCGGGUUUGUUCUUCUACUUUUAGCGAUUUAGUUAGCUGCUUAUAAGCACGUGGUCGUAUUCGACUUUGUUCUUCCACUUUAGUGGUUUAAGUGCUUGUAAGCACAUAGCCAAAUUUGACUUUAUUCUUUCGCUUUUAGUGGUUUAGUUAGGUGCUUGUGAGCACGUAGCCAUAUUUGGCUUUGUUCUUCCACUUUAGUAGUUUAGGUGCUUGUAAGCACGUAGCCAACUUCGUGUUGGCUUGGAGGUCAUUAAGGCUGGGUGUGAGGUGGCUUCUUCAGCUUGCACAAUGUCUUGAGGUCAUCUAAGCCUGUAACUCUUCGUGUUCCUAUUUCUUUGUAACUUUAUUUAAUGGUCCAAAUUAAUAAUAAAACUAUUUUUUUUAGUGUAUGAAUAUCUCGAAAUGAAAGAUGGUUAAUGGACAUGUUGUCAACAAUUUGACCAAGUACAACAAUAUCAUUAUGGUUGCUCAAUUCCAAUUCGAUUAUAUAGGGUUUCAUAAUGGGCCAGUACAAACAUGGAGGGUUGUAGCACUAAUAGGUGAUAUUUCUAUGCUCAACCUAUCGGGUAUUAUCAUAUUUAUUAGAGACUUAAGGCAGAGGCAUCAACCCAAAAAAGGAAAAAUCUAAAUUAGAAGAUAGUACACUGAUUGAAGCUAUGACAAGGAGCCCACUUGCAUUGUGAUUGCAGGACUAGUCUCAUGUGCUAUUGUUGUAAUGACUGGGUAUUUUAUGCUAUGUUAGCAUUUCUAUUUUGAAAAGUUUUAUUUUGAGUGAUGGUUGAAAAGUAAAAAAGAAAAGUGUCUGAAGGAACACGUGUUAGUUUUGGAUUGGUGAAAUUCGGUUUAUUGUGUUGGUCAAUUAGGCGAGUUGAAAAUUUUAUGUCAUGUCAGCCUUAGGAUAGAAAUUUCUUAGGAUUUUAGUAAUUGAGAAUUUUCGAAAAAGAAA